AUGAACGCUGGCGGCGUGCCUAAUACAUGCAAGUCGAGCGAACGGACGAGAAGCUUGCUUCUCUGAUGUUAGCGGCGGACGGGUGAGUAACACGUGGAUAACCUACCUAUAAGACUGGGAUAACUUCGGGAAACCGGAGCUAAUACCGGAUAAUAUUUUUAACCGCAUGGUUCAAAAGUGAAAGACGGUCUUGCUGUCACUUAUAGAUGGAUCCGCGCUGCAUUAGCUAGUUGGUAAGGUAACGGCUUACCAAGGCAACGAUGCAUAGCCGACCUGAGAGGGUGAUCGGCCACACUGGAACUGAGACACGGUCCAGACUCCUACGGGAGGCAGCAGUAGGGAAUCUUCCGCAAAGGGCGAAAGCCUGACGGAGCAACGCCGCGUGAGUGAUGAAGGUCUUCGGAUCGUAAAACUCUGUUAUUAGGGAAGAACAUAUGUGUAAGUAACUGUGCACAUCUUGACGGUACCUAAUCAGAAAGCCACGGCUAACUACGUG
rnacentral:rRNA from 1 species